UGUCAUCCAUUGUGCGCGCUCCGAAGA
rnacentral:sRNA from 1 species